rnacentral:rRNA from 1 species
UACGUAGGUCCCGAGCGUUGUCCGGAUUUAUUGGGCGUAAAGCGAGCGUAGGCGGGUUGUUAAGUCAGUCGUAAAAGUUUGCGGCUCAACCGUAAAAUUGCAGUUGAUACUGGCAUCCUUGAGUACAGUAGAGGUAGGCGGAAUUCGUGGUGUAGCGGUGAAAUGCUUAGAUAUCACGAAGAACUCCGAUUGCGAAGGCAGCCUGCUGGACUGUAACUGACGCUGAUGCUCGAAAGUGUGGGUAUCAAACAGG